GAAGAACCGUGCGAACGUUAUUCGGAAUCACUGGGCUUAAAGGGCGCGUAGGCGGAUUCACAAGUCUGUGGUGAAAUCCUCCAGCUUAACUGGAGAAGUGCCGUGGAUACUGUGAGUCUUGAGGAGGGUAGGGGCAUCUGGAACUGCCGGUGGAGCGGUGAAAUGCGUUGAUAUCGGCAGGAACUCCGGUGGCGAAGGCGAGAUGCUGGAUCCUUUCUGACGCUGAGGCGCGAAAGCCAGGGGAGCAAACGGG
rnacentral:rRNA from 1 species